AGCCCCUCGAGUGGUGGGGACUUUUAUUUGGCCUAAAGCGUCCGUAGCUGGCUGUAUCCGUCCCCCGUUAAAUCCAGCGUCCUAAACGUUGGACUGCGGGUGAUACCAUACAGCUAGAGGGUGGGAUAGGUGAGCGGUAUUUCUGGGGUAGGGGCGAAAUCCUUUGAUCCCAGGAGGACCACCAGUGGCGAAGGCUGCUCACUGAACACGCCUGACGGUCAGGGACGAAAGCUGGGGCAGCGAACC
rnacentral:rRNA from 1 species